AUCCAGUUGAUGAAUCUCAAAUAGGGCGAAAUGUGCGUCAAACUGGAU
rnacentral:hammerhead_ribozyme from 1 species